GACGAACGCUGGCGGCGUGCCUAAUACAUGCAAGUCGAACGCUGAAGGAGGAGCUUGCUUCUCUGGAUGAGUUGCGAACGGGUGAGUAACGCGUAGGUAACCUGCCUGGUAGCGGGGGAUAACUAUUGGAAACGAUAGCUAAUACCGCAUAAUAGUAGAUGUUGCAUGACAUUUGCUUAAAAGGUGCAAUUGCAUCACUACCAGAUGGACCUGCGUUGUAUUAGCUAGUUGGUGGGGUAACGGCUCACCAAGGCGACGAUACAUAGCCGACCUGAGAGGGUGAUCGGCCACACUGGGACUGAGACACGGCCCAGACGCCUACGGGAGGCAGCAGUAGGGAAUCUUCGGCAAUGGACGGAAGUCUGACCGAGCAACGCCGCGGGAGUGAAGAAGGUUUUCGGAUCGUAAAGCUCUGUUGUAAGAGAAGAACGAGUGUGAGAGUGGAAAGUUCACACUGUGACGGUAGCUUACCAGAAAGGGACGGCUAACUACGUG
rnacentral:rRNA from 1 species